rnacentral:rRNA from 1 species
UACGUAGGUGGCGAGCGUUGUCCGGAUUUACUGGGCGUAAAGCGCGCGCAGGCGGCGCGUCAAGUCUGGUGUGAAAGCCCCCGGCUCACCCGGGGGAGGCCACUGGAGACUGACGUGCUCGAGGAAGGUAGGGGCCGGUGGAAUUCCCGGUGUAGUGGUGAAAUGCGUAGAUAUCGGGAGGAACACCAGUGGCGAAAGCGGCCGGCUGGGCCUUUUCUGACGCUGAGGCGCGAAAGCGUGGGGAGCGAACCGG